GAAGCGCGGGAAUAACAAACGUACAACGCUCGUGCGUAGCUGACCUUUUGUCUCGCGGCGGUCAGGUAGGAAAGGGGGCGGAGACUAAAGGGAAGGAGGCGUCAUCUUAAUAGCAGGCGGACAGACGGGCGUCCCGAACACAACAAAUGGUUCGGGAAUAGCGCGGUUGCUUUCAUAUGGUGCUGGUAGACGAGCGCCGAGUCUUUAGGUGUGAUUUGUUAGCGCUCCAAAAGGCACAUUUCCCCCCAUUGACAAGAAGCAUGGGAGACUCCUGCUGACACAACGGAGAGAUACACUCUGAGACCCACUAUGGCUGUGGACGCCGCGUCCAGCUUCAGUUUCUGCCGGGCCUCCCUGGACCACACUGUGUCCAGCGAGGAGCUGAGCUACCAGCUGCCCCGGCGGGCCGGCGGGGGCGGCAGCAGCCUGACCUGGCACGACGGCCGCGGCCAGCAGCAGGGGGCGCACACGCGCACCGUCAAGCUGCUGCAGCAGCCCGGCACUGAGGGCAUCCAGCUGCGUCCAGGCGAGGCCUUCACCGUGUACCACACCAGCCCCACGCUGUCCUGCCUCUCCAAGCCCGUGGUGCUGUGGACCCAGCAGGACGUGUGCAAGUGGCUGAAGAAGAACUGUCCCCACAACUACCUGACCUACGUCGAGGCCUUCGCCCACCACGCCAUCACAGGCCGGGCGCUGCUGCGUCUGAACGGGGAGAAGCUGGAGCGGAUGGGCAUCGUGCAGGAGGGCCUGAGGCAGGAGGUGCUACAGCAGGUCCUGCAGCUGCAGGUGCGGGAGGAAGUGCGGAACCUUCAGCUCCUCAGCAGAACCUCCUUUGGAAACUUCUCUUAGGCUCAUCCCUUGAUCCAGUUGGCAGCCCUCUUCCUCUCCUCUGCCACAGUACGGCUCCCAGAGUCUUGGAGGAGCUGUGUGUGCAGAUAUCCCAGAACGCCGUCUAUACUGUGAGGGCAGCUGGCACGACGCUCUGCCUGAGGAACCGGAGGAAUGCUGAACACAGUGAGCCGGAAACGGGGACGUCUCAUUCACGUUCCAAACCGCGAGAAUACGAGAAGCUUUGUCCAGUCAAAGCUUCUCCUUCCCAUCAAUUCAACCCCAUCGAUCCAUACAUUGAAGGACUUCUUGGGACUAAGCAAGUGAACCACUCUUGGCGAGGAAGUGAAGAAAAGACACUCUAUGGUUUAUUUUUGACACUGAUGUAUAUUUCCAAACGUCUCGCUUUACUUGGUUAGAGAGGAUGUGAUACAAAGGGGAACAGAGGAAAAUGUCUGAUAUAUAUUAUAUCUGAUAUAUAAAAGCGUAUAUCGUAUAAUAAUAAAUUAAACUGUCUUUUUAGAAUAAACGUAUACAAAAAG